rnacentral:rRNA from 1 species
GACGAACGCUGGCGGCGUGCUUAACACAUGCAAGUCGAACGGAAAGGCCCUGCUUUUGUGGGGUGCUCGAGUGGCGAACGGGUGAGUAACACGUGAGUAACCUGCCCUUGACUUUGGGAUAACUUCAGGAAACUGGGGCUAAUACCGGAUAGGAGCUCCUGCUGCAUGGUGGGGGUUGGAAAGUUUCGGCGGUUGGGGAUGGACUCGCGGCUUAUCAGCUUGUUGGUGGAGUAGUGGCUUACCAAGGCUUUGACGGGUAGCCGGCCUGAGAGGGUGACCGGCCACAUUGGGACUGAGAUACGGCCCAGACUCCUACGGGAGGCAGCGGUGGGGAAUAUUGCACAAUGGGCGGAAGCCUGAUGCAGCAACGCCGCGUGCGGGAUGACGGCCUUCGGGUUGUAAACCGCUUUCGCCUGUGACGAAGCGUGAGUGACGGUAAUGGGUAAAGAAGCACCGGCUAACUACGUG